UACGAAGGGGGCUAGCGUUGUUCGGAAUUACUGGGCGUAAAGCGCACGUAGGCGGAUUGCUAAGUCAGGGGUGAAAUCCCGGGGCUCAACCUCGGAACUGCCUUUGAUACUGACAAUCUCGAGUCCGGAAGAGGUGGGUGGAAUUCCUAGUGUAGAGGUGAAAUUCGUAGAUAUUAGGAAGAACACCGGUGGCGAAGGCGGCCCUCUGGACGGAUACUGACGCUGAGACGCGACAGCGUGGGGAGCAAACAGG
rnacentral:rRNA from 1 species